GUCAAAGUGAGUGCAAACAGGACACAGGAAGCAGGCCUUGUUGGCUCUUCUCCAGAAUCAGGAUCUGGCCAAGAAUGCACAGUUCCCCACCUUGGAGGAGGAAGAAGAGGAAGAAGAAGCAGCAGCAGCAGCAGAAGGAGGAAGAGGAUGGGGAAAGAGGGGAAAGGCAAAAGGGAAGAAGUGGGAGAAAGAGAAAAAGAAGAAAAGAGGAGGAAAAGAAAAAAGGCAACAAUGAUGACAUUUUCUCAACUCUUUUCUGAGCCAAUAUUUGCCAUUAUAAUUACACAGCAUUGAAUUUCA